UAUUUCAUGAACGCUUCCAGAGAUGCUGACUCCACCAGCAUUUAUUACACUCAUUUAUUACCUCUAUGGGCAGCCCGCUCCAAUAGGCCGCUCUUUCAAAGGAGAAAUCUUCCCUAUUAUCCAACUUGAACCUCCCCUUCUGCUCUCUUCUCAAGACACGGGAUGCACUAAUUUCACACGCGGAGUCUACAAUGAGAUGCUGAGGGUUGAAGCUGCUUCUCUAUGCAAGAAAAUCCUUCGCUUGCCCUGCAGACAUCAUCCCAUCUUUCAUCCUCCACCAGACGCCAACAAGCAACUCACUUUGGUGUGUCCUGCAUGUCCCCUCCACCUGCCCCAGCCCAAGCCAUGGGGAUGAAUUGCAGCCGCAGUCAAAUUAGCCAAGCCAGGGAAAUGAAGAAAGGCUAAGGAGGACUUUUCAGGUGCCAAUGGGAGGAGAACAGCUUUCUGCUGGGAACAUGGAAGCGUAAUCCCAGGUAACUCAUGCUUCUGCUGAAGAAUUGCCACACUCAGCUGAAGCCAGAGCCCUGAUCACGCCGCCGCCGUCCUGAAUAACUGUGGUGCUGGGAUUCAAGAUGCUAAUUAUGAAGCCAAUUACCCAGGUAAUGUUGGGGCAUGAAGGAAAAUCACAGGGAGAGUCGUAAACGUGCCGUGACCGCACAGGAUGGGGCAGACUUGUGGCUCUGAAAAUCUGGCUUUUUACAUAAUCUAGCAAGAUCUGUCAAGCCAAGGAUGAAAGCAUGGAGAAGAUCCUUAUGCUGAGUUGUCUCUUGCAUGGCAUAAAGCAGAAGACCUUGCUUCAGGCUUGGUAGAGCUUGGGUGGCUUUGUCAUAGUUAGAGAACCACUGUGUCAUCUCUGUAAGGAAGCUUCCUUGUGGGUGACCUAUUUCUCCUCUUGAAGGAGAGAGGCAAGGAAAAGACCACCUUGUGCCCACCAUGGUCACAGAUGGUCGCCAUGGCUGCUUUGUGACAGUUAUGGAAUUCUGAGGUGGCUGAGAGUCACAGUGGAAUCAAACACUGGGUGUGGGGCCAACCACACUCCAACCUGUAGCUUGGGAAGGUGGAUCUCCUCCAGCAGGUCCCUCCUGUUGUGUGCCUUGUUUGGGAUCUCCUAAGGACAAGGUGUGAAGAAGGCAGACAGGCUGGACAAGAGGACAGCCAAGGAGCAAGGACAGUGUGGGUGGUGGAGGACAAUGUGGCUUUGAGUUCAUCCUGAGUGCUCUGUGAACCUAUCUGAGCUGAGUGUACCCAAAGUGAGAGGCUCUGCAGCAAGUUGAGGCUCAGACAUCCUCUAACAUCCCGGAGGGCCCGGCUGCUCAGGCACGUCGCGGGACUGCGGGGAGGUGAGGUCUGCACUGUUCCAGUCCAGAGGCUGACUCUGAAUUGGAUGAACUCCAAAGGACAAUGGAGCGCGUCUCCAGGGCUGAUGAGAUGUUUGAGUUAAAUCACCGGAUGAAAACAAGUCCAACAGAUCUGAGCCCAUCCCAGCUCCCCUUGAUUGGCUCCGAGGCAGGUGAUGCUUGGGUUUGAUUCUAGGAAAGGGCUUUGUUCCCAGGUAAAAUUUUCAUCUUUGAAACGAGGCCGACUGCAGCUGUGCAACCGAGAUCUGGACUCCAGCUGCGCCGGAGAGGUUCAAUUAAUUUUCCUUUUGAUGAAUAUUUCAGUUCUGCCAAUUCCCCUGGAGACUGCAAGUCUCACUCCUCAGCUCACCUGUUUUGCAGGAGCCAUUUUUGCACAGCAAGGAUUAUUGAAAGCAAAAAGAAAUAAUAAUUUUUAAAAAAAUUAAAAGAAGAAAAUACA